rnacentral:rRNA from 1 species
CAAAAACAUCGCCUCCUGCAAAAACCGAAGUAUAGGAGGUCCUACCUGCCCAGUGACUAUUUGUUUAACGGCCGCGGUAUCUUGACCGUGCUAAGGUAGCGAAAUCACUUGUCUUUUAAAUGAGGACCUGUAUGAAUGGUGGAACGAGGGCUUAACUGUCUCCUUUUUUAGGUCAGUGAAAUUGAUCUGCCCGUGCAGAAGCGGACAUAAAUAUACAAGACGAGAAGACCCUUUGGAGCUUAAGACAUACAGUCAACUGUGUUAAACAUUUCACUUAAAAAACUUAAACAAAACAAUAACUGACCCUACGUCUUCGGUUGGGGCGACCAUGGGGGAAAACAAAGCCUCCACGUAGAAUGGGACACUCCCUAAAACUAAGAGAGACAUCUCUAAGUCACAGAACCUCUGACCAAAAGAUCCGGCCAAHCAAGCCGAUCAACGGACCAAGUUACCCUAGGGAUAACAGCGCAAUCCCCUCCAAGAGUUCAUAUCGACAAGGGGGUUUACGACCUCGAUGUUGGAUCAGGACAUCCUAAUGGUGCAGCCGCUAUUAAGGGUUCGUUUGUUCAACGAUUAAAGUCCUACGUGAUCUGAGUUCAGACCGGAGCAAUCCAGGUCAGUUUCUAUC